AGACUUUGAUCCUGGCUCAGAAUGAACGUUGGCGGCGUGGAUUANGCAUGCAAGUCGAGCGAGAAGGGUUUGGUGCUUGCACUGAACCUGGACAGCGGCGAAAGGGAGAGUAACGAGUGGAUUACUUACCUUCAGGACCGGGAUAGCCGCGGGAAACUGCGGGUAAUACCGGAUAAUAUCUCCGGAUCAAAUGGUGUGAUUCCGCCUGGAGAUGGGUCCGCUUCCUAUUAUCUUGUUGGUGGGGUAACGGCCUACCAAGGCAACGAUGGGUACCGGGUGUGAGAGCAUGGCCCGGCUCACUGGGACUGAGACACUGCCCAGACACCUACGGGUGGCUGCAGUCGAGAAUCUUCCGCAAUGGGCGAAAGCCUGACGGAGCGACGCCGCGUGCGGGAUGAANGCCUUCCGGUUGUAAACCGCUGUCAGUUGGGAGGAAAUGCUAUGGGGUUAUCCCCAUANUUUGACCUAUCUUCAAAAGAAAGACGGGCUAANUUCNUGCCCACANCCCGCGGUNAUACUAACCCGUNCAAACGUUAUUCNGAAUCACUGG
rnacentral:rRNA from 1 species